AUGAAUUCUACUAUGCUAACUCAGUUUAGGCCCAUCAGCUUAUGCAACGUAUUAUACAAAAUUGCGUCCAAGGUGAUUGCAAACAUAUUGAAGAUGAUUCGUCCGGACAUCAUUUCAGAGGAACAAUUAGCAUUUGUGCCAGGCAGGCAUAUCACAGAUAAUAUCAUCAGUGUUUAUGAAUGUCUUCACUUUAUGAAACGCAGCAAGGCAAAAGUAAAUAGUUUUUAUGCGCUCAAACUGGAUAUGAUGAAGGCAUACAACAGACUAGAGUGGGAUUAUCUACAGGCGAUGAUGAUAAAACUUGGUUUUGCUCCAUCAUGGGUCCAGAUAGUUAUGAGUAUGGUUCGGUCACUAUCCUUUUCUGUACUUUUCAAUGGUGAGAGGCUUGACACUUUCAAUCCAUCCAGAGGCAUUCGGCAGGGAGAUCCGAUAUCCCCAUAUAUCUUUUUAAUCGCAGCGGAGGGCCUUUCGUGCCUACUGAAAUCCAGUUCGUCUUUGUCUCAGCUAGAAGGGAUCAAGGUGGCAUCCACGGCGCCAGCCAUGAACCAUCUCCUUUUCGCUGACGACAGCCUGUUGUUGUUUAAAUCGAGUGUUGAAGGGGCUGUGGCAGUAUCAAACUUGCUGGAGAGUUACUGUGUGGCAUCUGGCCAGCGGAUAAACCAUGAGAAAUCAUCAAUCUUCUUUAGUAAGGGUUGUCCACAAGCCAUGAGAGAGAGCAUCAAACAUAUUUUAAAUGUUCAGAACGAGUCACUCAGUGACAGGUACCUGGGGAUGCCCACAGAUGUGGCGCACUCGAAGAAUGGCACAUUCAGAUAUUUGAGAGAUCGUGUGUGGGAGAAGAUUAGAGGGUGGAUGGAGAAGCUGUUAUCUUCAGCGGGCAAAGAAAUUCUUAUCAAAUCGGUGGCUCAGUCAAUACCAGUUUUUUCGAUGUCAUGCUUCCGUCUCCCAUGA
rnacentral:rRNA from 1 species